rnacentral:lncRNA from 1 species
CAGAGAAAGUGAACUUUCCUUACAGAGAUCACCAGUAAAAAGUCACAUGACAGAAGUGUAUCCAGAAAGCAGGAUUUGAGGUAAUUGCAUGGUCUAAUAGGCUAUGUUCUUGUAUGUGGCUGGGUCACCUUUAUAGAAGCCAAUUCACAGAUUCUGUUUAGUAAUGAAGGCAGCCCCACCAAGGCCUCUGUUCGUUGGCAUCUGGUGCUGUUGAUGAGGUCUGAUAGGCGAUGUUCUUGCAUUAUAGAUAGUCUCUCUGUUCUAGCUUGCUUUCUAUGAGGCAUCUUCUCAAAUAAAUUUCCUUUUCCUCAGUUGACUCUAGCUUGUGUAGUUGAUAAAAAAAAAUAACCAGCACAUCCAAUCCCCUGGUUCAUGGGUUACUUUUAUUGGGUAAGUGUUCAAAAUGAUUCAGUAGGCUGUGGAGUGGGCAGGUGGAGUCAUGGUGUAAAGCCAAGCUAUGCUUUUCAUGGGACAUGGAUAGAGUCAGUUAAAUUAAACAACAACAACAACAACAACAACAACAAAUAGAGUCAGUUAAAUUAAACAACAACAACAACAACAACCAAAACAAAGUGACUGAUGGCUGCCUGUGAACACAGAUGGGGCUGAAACUAUUUUACAAUGCCUCAUAACUUUUAAUAGAAUGUGGACACAUACUGGUAUACUGCCAUACACUGGUGUAAAUGAAAUACAUGCCAGCUAGAUUAUUUAUGUGAUAGUCAGGGACUAUGCCUGAUCAUCACUUUAUGUGUGCAAGGCACAGGCUCACUGGUCGCCAGCUUCUCGAUGAAUGGCCUAGUGGAGGUCAGCUUUACUCCUUAACUGUUGACUUCCAUGAGCUGUGAAGCAAGACUUGCUCAGCCUGUGAGCAGCAGCACAGAAGAGUCAGAGAUGAACCUGCCACCAGGAAAGCCAUCAGAAGGCUUCGUGUGUGGGUGAGAUAAAGAGCUGGGGAUGUUUCGAGAGGCAGAUAGUGGGAAAAGAAGAAGAACGCCCAUAAGCGAAGCCUCUGCCAUCAUUGAAACAUGCAGUCUUAACUUCAGAGCAAGAUUACUGGUCUUUAUCUCACUCAUGACUCUGCAAAUUAAACUGCAUUGGGGCAAUGUAAUGUAAUGCAAGCCACACUAUUCAUUUUAUUGCAAAUCCAUGCGUAUCUGUCUCAAAGUGUCUCCUGAGACUCCUUGUGUCGGGAUGGGCUGCCUGCCCCAAUUCUGUGAUAGGAUGGGAAGAGAACAGCAAGAAAAGCACACGGGUGAAAAACGUGUUCUUGUGAACAGCUAGAAGGCGAACCGCUUCCCAACAUAGGUGCUGAUGUUUCUCCAGUGAUAUAAAAAUGCCCACCGUGGCAGUGGGAAGUCAGGAGCUUGUCUAUGUAUAGUACACACUGCUCCAUUCUUCCCACAGCACUCGAAUGGUCGCUCCAGCCGACUGCCCCAGCGCUUCCUCACCCAGCUUCUGUGUGACUGUUUGCAAGCUCCGAGUUGAUGGUGUUACGUUUUGUUUGCUCUCAGCCGGGCUACUCCUACAGUCUCUGCUGGAUGUUGUGAGUGCCGGAUUUGAUGAUGCUUUGCUGUCUACCAUUGCUUCUCUCUAACUGCUAUUUAUUCUUUUCCUUUACUCGCAAAAUACUUAAUAAACCCAGUCAUCCAAAACUGAAAGCACAGUGUAGUAGAUCAUUCUCUGGGCCACACAGAGCACCACAGAUGUAGACUGUAUGUGGCAAACAGAGAGCAAGUAGCACACUCUUUCUUUCCCUUUGGCAAGGAUUCUUCAUGCUGACUACUAAGUUCUUUAUCAGUCCAUAGUCACUAAGGAAACUUUGAGGGUCUUACCCAUCUUUAGGUAAACACCCACAUGACAUGCGUGUUCCUUCAUUACGAUAUCUUGCAAUUAGACUAGGAAUGGGACCAAAUUCGGCACUCACAAAUGAUCUCCUCAUUAGGCAUUUAUAAAUGGGAUGCUGUGUCUAAUACGCAUUGGAUGGCAAAUUCCCUGUGAGGUAGGAUGAGAGAUUUAUAGACAUGAGAAAGAAA